CCUCCCUGCCGUCGGUUCUCGCCCAGGCCCAGGAAGUUGAGUCCCUGGCGGGGAGGACAGGCAGGUGCGUCCGCGCUGCCGAGCACCAAGUCGCUGGAGGGGCACACCUCGAUGACACGCUCACAGACGGGAGUUCAGACACACACUUCCUGGCUUGCGUGCGAAGCGGGAUCGCAGGGCAAUAAUCCCUCCAUCUUCCCCGGGAGGUUGGGUGACUGCAAGAUACACGCGCCCACUCGAUGCCACCGGGCCGCCACCGUCUGGGCCUGGGAUCUUGACCCACUUGUCUUCUGUACUUCAGGGUUUAGAGGCGGCAGCAGCAGCAGCCGUCUUGGAUAACUUUUGAUGGAUUCAGGAGGACUGGAGACCUCUUGUGUGCCGGCACCUGGACACAAUUUUCAUUCAGUCCUGCCCGAUGCCCCGACCUGGACUGCGGUGCCGAUGAGGAAACCGAGGCUUAGCGGGAUCCCUAAUCCAAGGCCACGACGACUGAGCCUGCUGGGAUUCCAGCCAGGAGCCUGUCCCUGGGGAGCACUUGUCACAGCCUUACCCUCUUCCAGAAGGCGCCACAUUUACCCUUGUGGACCGACAAUCGAAUUAACAUGCUGAUACACACGAGGAGCUGCUUCUGCUGUGUGUCCUGUUACUUGGAAGGCACAGCCCCGGCAGCACCCAUACAAAAUGAGGUCUCCGAUUUAAGGUGCGAGGUGGCAGCUGCCCUUCCAGGAGCCAGUGGGGAGACCUGGGUGGCUGGGUGGGGACACCUGCCAAGUCCUCGCCUAAGCCAGCUACCACCCUACGCUGUUGGCUUCCCUUCUCCAACUGCGGGGACGCUGCUCAGGCCUUUCGUGACAUCACACCCAGGAGUCCUUGGGGUCCGGUCACUGCUCCUGGGCCCAGCGAGGUUCAAGCUCUGGUCGCCCUGCCCCCUACCCCCCAUGCCAGAUCCGGCAUCGUUGUGGGCAAACAAUUAUCUGGAUGAUCUUUAUGGGGCUUAAGCUUGGGUGGGAGCAGAUGGGGCAUGAGCUGGGGAUUUGGGGAUGGGGGGAAUCCACACCCCCACGUCCCGGACGUUUAAAAGGCCCUCUCUGGCACUGGGCCGGGGCAGAGGCCAGCAGGAAAGUGACCGGAGUCCAGGGACCUGAUGGAUCAGGAGAAGACGGAGGAGGGCUCAGGCCUCUGUGCCGAGGUGAGAGGGCCCUGCCCCCACCCCACCCCCAGCUCAAGGUCUCAGAGUCCAUGAUUGACAAGACUAAUUAGUUUGUAGGGCACCUAAUUAGCGAGUGAGUCUCCUAGGACCCCCUGACCCAGUUGUGGCUGUAGAAGGGGCUGGUGGGCCUGGGGGUCUCAGUGCCAGGCCGGAGGGCAGAGGGCAGGGCUGUCUGUGUGGACCCCUAUUGAUGGGAGAUGCUGGGACCUGGGGGUAGCUCCUGGGCCAUGUUUCCCUGACUUGUGUCCCAGCUCCCAGGCCACACUCAUCAGGCCCCAAUCUAGGACAGCAGGACGCUGGCAUCGGAGCCUGUCCCUUGAGACGGUACCACGUGAAGUGGCACUGCCGGCUGGGGCCCCUGGGGCGGGGGCCGGGAUUGGGAAGGAGACUCAUGUCUCAUUCAGAACAGCUCUGCAGAGCGGAUCGGCGGGGACCAUGGUGAGAGCUGAGGAAGAGGGGACAGCAGGCCCCGGGGUCGGGUGUGAGCAGGCUGGCUGGGAAGGUUGGGGAGGGGCCCCCAAGCUGAAGGGCCAACCGGACUGAGCGGGUCUGUCUGCAGGCGGGCUCCCCAGACCAGGAGGGCUUCUUCAAUCUGCUGAGCCACGUGCAGGGUGAUCGGAUGGAGGGGCAGCGCUGUUCACUGCAGGCUGGGCCGGGCCAGACCAAGAGCCGUGAGCAUGGGCACAGGGGUGCUGUCCAUGGGGCGUGAACAGGGUGGGAGUGCAGGGCGAGUGGUCAUCUGGAGGGCCUGGGGGCACGGGGUGUGGGAGGUGGUUGUGCACCCUGAAGCAUCGGCAUGGGGGUGAAGGGGUAGGGUUGGGGGC